rnacentral:rRNA from 1 species
UACGUAGGGUGCGAGCGUUGUCCGGAAUUAUUGGGCGUAAAGAGCUUGUAGGCGGUUUGUCGCGUCUGCCGUGAAAAUCCGGGGCUCAACCCCGGACUUGCGGUGGGUACGGGCGGGCUAGAGUUCGGUAGGGGAGACGUGGAAUUCCUGGUGUAGCGGUGAAAUGCGCAGAUAUCAGGAGGAACACCGGUGGCGAAGGCGGGUCUCUGGGCCGAUACUGACGCUGAGGAGCGAAAGCGUGGGGAGCGAACAGG